AGAGCGAACGCUGGCGGCAGGCCUAACACAUGCAAGUCGAGCGCCCCGCAAGGGGAGCGGCAGACGGGAGAGUAACACGUGGGAACGUACCCUUUGGUUCGGAACAACACAGGGAAACUUGUGCUAAUACCGGAUAAGCCCUUACGGGGAAAGAUUUAUCGCCAAAGGAUCGGCCCGCGUCUGAUUAGCUUGUUGGUGAGGUAACGGCUCACCAAGGCUACGAUCAGUAGCUGGUCUGAGAGGAUGAUCAGCCUCACUGGGACUGAGACACGGCCCAGACUCCUACGGGAGGCAGCAGUGGGGAAUAUUGGACAAUGGGCGCAAGCCUGAUCCAGCCAUGCCGCGUGGAUGAUGAAGGCCCUAGGGUUGUAAAGUCCUUUCGACGGGGAAGAUAAUGACGGUACCCGUAGAAGAGCCCCGGCUAACUUCGCGCCAGCAGCCG
rnacentral:rRNA from 1 species